CAGGAAAAGAGUUUACUGUUCUCAUGCCACGGAAGAUCAGAGUUAGGCAGUCCAAGAUUCGUGUGAAUCAGCAAUGUCAUCAAGAGUCCAGAUUCCUUUAAUCCUAUGGUUUCAUCAUCCUUAACAUUGUAAAAUGGCUGUUGUACUUCCAGACAGUAAGUGUAGGUGACAGGCAAGAAGGGGGGAAAAGGUAAGAUAAAGUUUACAGGGCCCAAGAGCACGCCAGCUGAAAUUGUCUCUCAGAAAAGUUCCUGUGCGUCGCACCCAGUGAAGUCCUUUUUCAUCUCCUUGGUCAGAACUUGGUCAUCUAGGCUUUCCUGAUUGCUGGGAAUCUGGAAAAUUGGACACAUACACCUUGGAUAAAUUCAAGGUUCAGUUAUUAAGGAAAAAAGGUGAAAAGGUGGCAGUCUCUUAUUUCACCUCCAUUUAAGCAACAAUGUCGGGAAUUGUUCCUUCUGGCUUGAUAUUUGUAUGUUGGAGGUGGGGGAACAAAAGGCAUGAAGAACAAAAUUGGGAAACGAGGGUAAGAACACGUCGCUGCAAACCCUGGGAGCAGUCAAAUCAGGCUGCCAGCUGCAACAAGAAUCUCUCUAAUAAGGAAAUUAGAGCAUGAUCAUUUCUGGCUAUGUGACUCUGAUUCUAAAUAGGUUUUACAAAUAGAUUGUGAUUGAACUUGGAAACAUAAACAAAUUGGCUUUGUGGAAUAAAGGCUGCACUACAUUUUAGUUAGA